GACGAACGCUGGUGGCGUGCUUAACACAUGCAAGUCGAACGGAAAGGCCCUUCGGGGUACUCGAGUGGCGAACGGGUGAGUAACACGUGGGUGAUCUGCCCUGCACUUUGGGAUAAGCCUGGGAAACUGGGUCUAAUACCGAAUAUGAUCAUCGGCUUCAUGGUCGGUGGUGGAAAGCUUUUGCGGUGUGGGAUGGGCCCGCGGCCUAUCAGCUUGUUGGUGGGGUAAUGGCCUACCAAGGCGACGACGGGUAGCCGGCCUGAGAGGGUGACCGGCCACACUGGGACUGAGAUACGGCCCAGACUCCUACGGGAGGCAGCAGUGGGGAAUAUUGCACAAUGGGCGCAAGCCUGAUGCAGCGACGCCGCGUGAGGGAUGACGGCCUUCGGGUUGUAAACCUCUUUCAGCACAGACGAAGCGCAAGUGACGGUAUGUGCAGAAGAAGGACCGGCCAACUACGUG
rnacentral:rRNA from 1 species